CUCAGCAGCGCCGGGGACGGGUGGGAGCCGUGCGGGCGCCGACCGCGGCGGCAACGCGUCUGUAGCUGUCGCAGGGCGCUGCGACCUUCUGCUCCCCUCCUAUGAGAGGACCCCUCGCCACGCUGUGCUGUGCUGUGCUGUGCCGAGCGCCCGGCCCGGCCCGGCCCGGCCCGGCGCCUCCCUGCGCUCCCGCCACGCGCCCCCCUUUCUUCCCCCCGGCUCCCCUCUGGCCCGGGGAAAUGGGGAAAACAUAAAAGCAUGAGGGAAGAAGAGUCGCCGGAGCUGCCUGAGCAGCCCGCAGGGUGGCAGCUGCCCGCAGCGGCCAGCAGGAGGAGGCAGCGGCUCUUUGCCGGGAGAUUGCUGAGCAUUGGGAAGAAUAUUUGGGAUAAAGAAAUGAGAGGCAGGAGGGAAGCUCCAUGCUCCCAAGGGAAUGCUGUAGGCACGUGCAGCUUCUGAACCGCACUGAUAAUCCUGGCUGCUACAGAAACCUUCCGAAACUGGAAUGGACAGGGAAGACAAUUCCAGGAGCCGUGGGAAGUGCUUUUUCCUGGGUCUGGAUAGCAUUGAGGUCAGAAUGAGUUCCAAAUAUUCCUAGUGCCUCUCCUGUUUCCAGCCCAGGACUAAGUCCUGUUCCCUGAGUGGCUGCAGUUCCCUGCAUGUGGAGGGAGCAAGCCUGUACUGGAGAGUGGGAGAAAGGUCCCUGCUGGUUGCUGUGUCCUCGAUGGGCAGGGAACUCUGAUCUUGGCCAGGUGGGUUGGAUAGGAAGAACCACUGAACUUGUCCCAUCCUUGCCACAAGCUUUGGUAUUUGAGCAUUCAAACCAAACCUGGUCCUGCCCAUGGUAUGCUGGAACUGCCUCUCUGGAUGUGUGCUGAGCUCUCGCUGCUGUGGACUGUGUGGCCUUAAUUGCUGCAGGUUCCUGUUCUUCUCACUGGGGAAUGGGAAAUAAUUAUUAAUUAGAGUGCAGAGAUGUUUUCUGAAACCUCUCCCUUUUUUCUGCCUUUUAAUGGUAGAUCUUCUCUUUCUGCCUUUGAAUUUACAGGAUUUUCUGAUAUAAUUUCCCCUGCCCAAAUUCCUUGCAGCUCCUCGGGCAGAGAGAAGCUUCUCCUGUGGCCAAGGUUCAGUGGGAAAAUGAUACUGUGUGUCUCACCUCCUUCAUACAUUGAACUGCUCUUUAUAUCUUAGAGCAUAGACUUAGUUGAUCCUUUUUCAACAGAAAGUGGUAGGCUGAACUCACCUGAAUUACUAAACCAUGCUUUAGAUAUUUGAGUUUUUUUUAAAGGAAAUAAAACAACAAGCUUUUCAUCUGUGGGCUUUGUUGGUAUUGCUCCUUAACUGAGCCACACCUUUAAGUAAAGAUACGGUCACCUUCUAGAAACAGUGUUUAAUACAUUUUGUGCUCUCCUGUGAGACCUUUGGGCACACGUUUUUCCAUUGCUGAAUUAAAGUUAAUUGCAGGUCCAAACUGA